ACGGAGGGUGCAAGCGUUAAUCGGAAUUACUGGGCGUAAAGGGCGCGUAGGUGGCUUGGUAAGUCGGAUGUGAAAGCCCCGGGCUUAACCUGGGAACUGCAUUCGAUACGGGCUCGCUCGAGUACGGUAGAGGAGAUUGGAAUUCCCGGUGUAGCGGUGGAAUGCGCAGAUAUCAGGAGGAACACCGAUGGCGAAGGCAGCUCUCUGGGCCGCUACUGACGCUGAGGCGCGAAAGCAUGGGGAGCAAACAG
rnacentral:rRNA from 1 species